rnacentral:rRNA from 1 species
UGCAUCGAUGAAGAACGCAGCGAAAUGCGAUACGUAGUGUGAAUUGCAGAAUUCCGCGAAUCAUCGAGUCUUUGAACGCAAGUUGCGCCCGAGGCUUGUCCGAGGGCAUUUCCGCUAGAGCGUCACCGCGCCCCCCACCGAUCCGCUCCCGCCGCGAGGCGCGACGCGGGUCGAGUGGAAGUGGCCGUCCCGGCGAAGCGGCCUUCUUUCACGAGGAGGCCGCGCUUGGCUAAGGGUCGGCUGAAAUGGAUGGAAUCGGGCCGCCGUGGUGACACAGUCCGCGAUCGGGUGAUUUCGUCGCGAGCCUCCUCCGUGAGGCUCUCGUUGAAUUUUUCUAAGUGCUUGGCUGCGUCCYCCAGUUGGCUCGGGUUACCUCAUGCAGGUCGAGCGCGCCCCCGCGGCGCGCGUCACGCAUCAGACCUCUAAUCGGAAAA